UGUUUCAGAUUUAAACAGAUU
rnacentral:piRNA from 1 species